rnacentral:rRNA from 1 species
UACGAGGGGGGCGAGCGUUGUUCGGAAUUAUUGGGCGUAAAGGGUGCGUAGGCGGUUUGGUAAGUCUUGUGUGAAAUCUUCGGGCUCAACUCGAAGUCUGCAUGAGAAACUGCCGUGCUAGAGUGUGAGAGAGGCGAGUGGAAUUACGGGUGUAGCGGUGAAAUGCGUAGAUAUCCGUAGGAACAUCCGAGGCGAAAGCGGCUCGCUGGAUCACAACUGACGCUGAGAGACGAAAGCUAGGGGAGCAAACAG